AGAGUUUGAUCCUGGCUCAGAAUCAACGCUGGCGGCGUGCCUAACACAUGCAAGUCGAACGCGAAAGUCCCGCAAGGGAUUAGUAGAGUGGCAAACGGGUGAGUAACGCGUGGGUGACCUGCCUUCGAGCGGGGGAUAACGUCCCGAAAGGGACGCUAAUACCGCAUGACAUCCUGCCUUUGAAGAGGCGGAGAUCAAAGCCGGGGAUUCGCAAGAACCUGGCACUCGACGAGGGGCCCGCGUCUGAUUAGCUAGUUGGUGGGGUAAUGGCUCACCAAGGCAACGAUCAGUAUCCGGCCUGAGAGGGCGGACGGACACACUGGGACUGAGACACGGCCCAGACUCCUACGGGAGGCAGCAGUGGGGAAUUGUUCGCAAUGGGCGCAAGCCUGACGACGCAACGCCGCGUGGAGGAUGAAGAUCUUCGGGUCGUAAACUCCUUUCGAUCGAGACGAACAGCCUUCGGGUAAACAAUCCGGAGGUCUGACGGUACCGAGAGAAGAAGCCCCGGCUAACUCCGUGCCAGCAGCCGCGGUAAU
rnacentral:rRNA from 1 species